rnacentral:rRNA from 1 species
UACAGAGGGUGCAAGCGUUAAUCGGAAUUACUGGGCGUAAAGCGUGCGUAGACGGUUAUUUAAGUCAGGUGUGAAAGUCCGGGGCUCAACUCCGGAUCUGCGGUGGGUACGGGCAGACUAGAGUGAUGUAGGGGAGACUGGAAUUCCUGGUGUAGCGGUGAAAUGCGCAGGUAUCAGGAGGAACACCGGUGGCGAAGGCGGGUCUCUGGGCCGAUACUGACGCUGAGGAGCGAAAGCGUGGGGAGCGAACAGG